AUUGAACGCUGGCGGCGGGCCUAACACAUGCAAGUCGAGCGGAUGAGAAGAGCUUGCUCUUCGAUUCAGCGGCGGACGGGUGAGUAAUGCCUAGGNAUCUGCCUGGUAGUGGGGGACAACGUUUCGAAAGGAACGCUAAUACCGCAUACGUCCUACGGGAGAAAGCAGGGGACCUUCGGGCCUUGCGCUAUCAGAUGAGCCUAGGUCGGAUUAGCUAGUUGGUGAGGUAAUGGCUCACCAAGGCGACGAUCCGUAACUGGUCUGAGAGGAUGAUCAGUCACACUGGAACUGAGACACGGUCCAGACUCCUACGGGAGGCAGCAGUGGGGAAUAUUGGACAAUGGGCGAAAGCCUGAUCCAGCCAUGCCGCGUGUGUGAAGAAGGUCUUCGGAUUGUAAAGCACUUUAAGUUGGGAGGAAGGGCAUUAACCUAAUACGUUAGUGUUUUGACGUUACCGACAGAAUAAGCACCGGCUAACUCUGUGCCAGCAGCCGCGGUAAUACAGAGGGUGCAAGCGUUAAUCGGAAUUACUGGGCGUAAAGCGCGCGUAGGUGGUUGUUAAGUUGGAUGUGAAAGCCCCGGGCUCAACCUGGGAACUGCAUCCAAAACUGGCAAGCUAGAGUACGGUAGAGGGUGGUGGAAUUUCCUGUGUAGCGGUGAAAUGCGUAGAUAUAGGAAGGAACACCAGUGGCGAAGGCGACCACCUGGACUGAUACUGACACUGAGGUGCGAAAGCGUGGGGAGCAAACAGGAUUAGAUACCCUGGUAGUCCACGCCGUAAACGAUGUCAACUAGCCGUUGGAAUCCUUGAGAUUUUAGUGGCGCAGCUAACGCAUUAAGUUGACCGCCUGGGGAGUACGGCCGCAAGGUUA
rnacentral:rRNA from 1 species